rnacentral:misc_RNA from 2 species
CCGAGUUAGGGUGUCGCCUCGGCGCGCCCGACCUCCCAACCCUUUGUCUACCUUACCACAACGUUGCUUCGGCAGGCCCGCCGACCCCUAGAGUCCGCUCUGGGGCGAGGCCGCCGGGGGCUCUGUGCCCCGGGCCCGCGCCUGUCGAUGGCCCCUCUUAAACUCAUGUCUAAACGUGUCGUCUGAGUAAUAAUUAUAAUGCAAACCA